rnacentral:lncRNA from 1 species
GGAGGAUCAGUACUCCCCGGCACAUGGUCUGCUUCCCAGGCUUAACAGGUUACAUGGACUCCCUUCUUUUUUCUCCACCUGCCCUGUGCUCCAGGCCCUGUGCUGGGUGUGGGGGCCCAGAGGUACCAUCUCAUCUAAGCCUCAUAGCAACCUACAAGGUGAACCAAGUGCCGGGCCCGACACUUUUGAAUUUGGGCCUCACCCUGUGAGUCGGCAUCAGGGAGUUAUUCCUGUUUGACAGGAAAGGGUGCUGAGACUCGGAGUGUUGAAGUCAGUCUCCUAAGCAAGUCGGAAGGUCUUCUGAUUCCACGUGGCUAUUUCUGCUGGAGGCGGGUAAGUAUUUACUGACCACCUGCUGUGUGCCAGGCAUGGUUCUGCGGUGGAGACGCGAUGCUGCAUGAAACACUCACAGUCCUGCACUCAUGGAGCAUACAGUCUGGCUGGGUAAGACAGGCCGACUGGUAAUAGAGAAAUGGGAAAGUAUCAGACGGGGAAGAAUGCUAGGUGAGCAUUAAGAUCGGGUGAUGUGAUCAGGGAAGGCCUCUCUGAAGAGGAGACAGGUAAGCUGACACUUGAGAAGAUAACCCUUCAGCUGUGAGGCAGAUUUUCUGAAAAUCUAGCCCUGUUGGGCUGGGGCUGGGGCUGGGGUCGGAGGUGCACUUCAGGGAAACGAAUCGAAUCAGCAGAUGUAAAGGCAGGGAGCUCCCCCCAAUCGCUCCCCUUGUGAGGCCGGCUCCGGACUGCACCCACCUGUGCGGCUCACCCUGGGGCCUGGCUGUGUGGGCGGCUGCGGGGCAGGCUGGGUAAAUGGCUCUGCUUCCUGGAAUGUCUCUCUCAGUAGAGGAAGCAUUCAGUAAUUUAAUACAUUAUUUUUAUUAGAAACAAGCAUGGCUUGCUUAUAGGGGAAUUCACAAGACCCUUUAAAGAUAAAACAGGAGAUGUCAAAGAAACCUUGGGUGGAGCAGCUGACCCUGACCCAAAGAUCUGCUUUCACUCUUCUUGAGUCCUGGGGUUCCUUGUGGUGAGGUAUGAGCAGCUGGGUCAGUCCUUUCCCGGCCCAGCUUUAUUUGGGUCCCUCUCUGUCAGGAGUCCUCUGUCACUCCCCAUUGCCCAGUAACAUGAACGCCAGCCAGUUCUCAGUUCUUGAAUGAUUAUCUUAGGCUGGGCAUACUGCCUGUCUGAAUCCUCAGAACAACGCUGUUAGGCAGAAACUAUUGUUAUUUCCAGUUUACAGAUAAGGAAACUGAGCCUUGGACAGGGGAAGAGACUUUUCCGAGGUCCUACAGCAGAUUAGUGGCAAAGCCGGGACUCAAACUUAGCUGGUGCCAUUAAUCACUACUGCUUCUCCCAUAGCUACAUCCUCACUCUUACCUGCUCCUGACCCAACUUCCCCUUAUCCUGUGCUCCACAGACUGAGCAAACAGCCCCUUUGCUGCUCCCAAACAUGCCGCACGGGUUCCCACCUCCGAACCUUUGCAUGUGCUGUUCCCUCCGCCUCGAGUCUCCUGCCUCCCAUCUCUGUUUGUUGCAACCCUAACCAUUCUUCAUGGUUUUGUUCAGCUUCUUCCUCUUCCGUGAAGUCAUGUGCUUACUCCCACAAACAAGGGGCUGCCCUUUAUCUCUCAUGCCCCGCAGUUCUCUCUGCCCUAUUCUCUCGGCCCUUAUCACAAUACUUUGUGUGCCCAGGGAUUGGAGUGGGACAGACCAGGGUUUAAGUUCAAGUCUCGUUUCUGUCAUGUAUGGGCUCUGGGAUCUUGAGAAGACAGCGACCUUUGUAAGUCUCAGUUUCUUCUUUGGUAAAGUGAGCCUAAGGUGGGGAACAAAUAGACAAUGAAUCAGAAACACUCAGCAUAGGGUCUAGUUAGUGCUGAAUCAAUGGCAACUGUUGUUACAUAACCUCUCCCUGCCUCAGUUUCUUCAUCUGUAAAAGGGGGGAAAUACGGUACUUCAAUGCUCUCUUGUAGGGUGGUCAUAAAAGAUGGCAAAGGGCGUCUGAAGUGCCUGGCACACAGUCAGUGCUCAACAGGAGAGGGCAGGUCCAGGGACUCAUCACAUCUCUCUCCCUCAUAGGCCCAGCCUGGGCUUUGUGGCUCGGAGCAUGUUUUUUCAGUUGAAGUUGAGGUAGAUUUGCAUUUCCAAGGGAUGUGGCCUCAUUCAGUCCAGGCUGCCCUCACACCCAGCCUGGUGGGAAAGGGGGAAAUGACUUGGCGCCCACAAAAUCUCCACCAUCAUCAUAAUCACAAUAAUUAAUUUUUUGUUAGGGGCAACUGGCAUUUUCUUUAUUUUAUGUAAAGUGCUUUUGGAAAACUUUGCUAUUUUUAUUGAUCUGUAACCUAUUAUUUAAGUACAAACAGCGGUUGCACACACAGCUUCAAGCAGGGCCUGCAGCUCCCCUCCAAACACACUGCUGCCUGCAGUCCUCCCUGAGGAGGAAUUUGGGAGCUGUCUCUGUCCAACUGCCCUCCACUCCCACCCUCCCUUGGUUAUGAAGCAAAUUCUCUGGAAACUCUGCCCUUUGGUGGCUGGGGGUGGGGAUAGGGAAAGACCCUAGCUCCUUUCACAGAGGGAGCGUUGUUUUCAGUCAUCUUCACAGGGGGGACCAGAUCUGAUGAGCAUUAGCAAAAAGAUGGGCUGACCCAAGGGCAGGCUGGGAAAUCUACUUUGAGGUGAGGGAAGGGCUGUCCCCUGAAGGCCAAUGGGGCCUCCGUCCCUAAAGACCUGCAACCUUUCCUGCCAAUUCUUCAGAGAACCUCUCAGCCUAAUUUCAGAGCCAGGAAGACCAAGACUGAAGUCCUAGUGGCCCCAUCUUGGGGCUAUUUCUCUGGGGAGUGGGAUUGAUCCUACUUUAGGAGUAUAGGCAGCCAAUGGGAGGCUGGGGCUUGGUUAUGUCUCCAUUUUUGGCCACAGCUGAUGGAAAUGGAGCUUCUCGGAGGAAGAGGCUCUGUCCGUAGGGCAACUCUUUUUUUUUUUUCCCUAGGAAGAUUAGCCCUGAGCUGACAUCCACUGCCAGUCCUCCUCUUUUUUUUUUUUUUGCUAAGGAAGACAGGCCCUGAGCUAACAUCUGUGCCCAUCUUCCUCUAUUUUAUAUGUGGAAUGCCUGCCACAGCAUGGCUUGACAAGUGGUGCAUAGGUCUGCACCCAGGAUUCGAGCCAGCGAACCCUGGGCCACUGAAGCAGUGCAUGUGAACUUAACCGCUAACCCACCGGGCUGGCCCCACAGGGCGACUCUGAAGUGUGAAGUUCUUGCAGUCUGGCUGGUCUACUGGGUGCCCAGGUGUCCCACGCUACUGGUUGGGGUCUGAGCAUCAGUUUGAAAACGUUGGUUAGGAGCUGGAGAAACUAUCCAGUAGUUUGGAAAAUUGGAUAUAAGAAGAGAGGAAUGGGGCAGCAGACCCUAAAAGGGCUCUCUUUUUGGUUCACGGUACCUGAGGAUUUCAAGAAACCUUUGCCUGGAGGGACAUGGAGACCUGAGGGCAGCUGGGCCUCCAGGUGUCCCUGUGGAGCCUGGUAGCCCCUUCCUCCUUUCCCAGUUCUCCAUAGCCCCGUGUACCCAGGGACAGCAGAGGCUUGGCAGUGAGUGACGAGAAAGAUCGUGUGUGGCCUCGGGAGGGGAGAGAACUCCUUGGGCCUUUCUAGGCAGCCCCUACCUCCUCCCCACCUUGGGUGUUGGGAGCCCGGCCAUCCUUCUUGUGCUCCAGGUUAUGUAGUUAACACUGUUUCUUGAGAGUCCCUGUGGCCCAGGUUUGUGCUAGGUAUGUAUCCCCAUGGGAGCCCUCAAGGGGCUCACCAUCAAGAGGAGGGAGCCAAACGAGUAGACAGCUGAUUACAUCUCAAACAGGUCUGAGGUUGGUGAUGCUCACAGCAGAGGUCCCUAAUCUGGUCUGAGAGGCCAAGGAAGGCUGCCUGGAAGUAACAUGCUGGGUUCCAAUUAUGGCUGCACCGCUUACUAGUUGUGUGACCUUGGAAGAGUUCCUUAACCUUGCUGUGCUUUACUUUCUUCAUCUUUAAAAAGGGGAUAAUAAUAAUACCUACUUCAAAGGGUUGUUGUGAGGAUUUAAUGAGUUAAUACAUGUAAAUAUCCCUUAGAACAGUGCCUGCUGCACAGUAACUAUUCUAUAAAUGUUAAAUAAAAAAUAAAAACAGCUCCCACUUGGAUGAGUAGGACUUGGCGAGCAGAUGGAUGGGAAAGUGUCCUAGGCAAAGAGAACAAGGGCCUGGGUGUGAGAAAGCAGGCUCCUCUAAGGAACUCCAUUUUGUAUCACCAGGGGAGGGUGUGACUGGUGGCUGUUCUGGUCUAUGAUUUGGGCUGGGGACUCCAUCCCCUCCCUUCCACUGCCACAGUGUGGUCCUUGGGCCUGAGAUGGGACUGAGUCCAUGGGCCUGGCCAUGCCCAGCCAUUCAUUCCUCUGCCAGUCCUGCCACUGUCCGCGAGCCAGGCCUCAGGCUGGACAGCGCUGGGCAUUCUCCUGUGGGCAUCUGGAGCUCCCCAUUUGGUGGGGAAGCCCAGGGAUCAGGAGGGCUUCUUGGGGGAGGUGCUCUCUGAACAAUGUGCCAAAAGGAAGAUGAAAAGUUCCCCAGUUGCGGGGAGAGGAGGGAGUUCCAGACAGAGGGAAUGACCUGUGCAAAUGUUGAGAGGGAGGGAUUCCAACUCUGAGGAGAAACAAAAAGACCUUCGGUGGAGUUUAAGUUCUGGGCCUGGGCGUCCCCCUCUGGGUCGAUUGUAUCAGGAGGCUUGCAUGGUCCUCACCUUGCCCUUUAGCCUCAGCAGGGGUGGUGGCCUGAGAGGUUAAAGUCCAGUGUUGCUCCAGGGCCAGCCCAAGAGCUGAGGGUAGGGGCGCCAGUUACCCUGGUCCCUCCCUCUCACUCCAGAGCUGGGAGGGUUUGGCAAAGCAACAAGGCAGCCUUUGUGUCCCUCUGUGGGUCUAGGCACGUCUGGCCCAGCCUAGGCGGCUGCUGGUUUCAGUGCCCUGUGAUUCCAGCCAGGCACUGCAGGGCGGGGCAGGCAGGGCGUCUUCAGGGCCCACAGUGUGGCUGCCUUGUGUCCCCUGCACCCCCGCCAGGGCUCCCGAGGUGAGGCUGCCUGUGCCACGGAUACGUGGGGAUGUGUGGGGCUGGCAAUGAGAACCCAGAGCAGGUAGAGGGUAGGCAGAGGUGUGCACGGAGGUGGUGGGUUGGGGGUGGGAGCCGGGAGCAUCUGAAGGCUCCUAUGUGCCGCAGCGUGGGCCUGAGGGGUACACCAGGGUGAGUCUGUGAGUGUGCACUGGGGUGAGGAUGCGCUUUGGGGUGUGAGGGUCUGGGCUAGAGCACAUGAGCAGCCCCCAGCCUGCUCAGAACAGAGUGCUGCUGUCUCCCUCGGCAGCACCAACAACGAGGCCUCUCUCCCGGCACAUAAUGUCCCCUCUGUAUUGUCUGCUGCACAGCGGUGAUGAUAAUUUUAAGGCCCCAAUCCUUUUCUUGGUGGGGGAGGGUGGGGGCAGGGUGGAGGCCGUCCAUGGAGGGCCAGAGUUCCUCAGCAGGGUUUCAGCCCCGUGAGUGUGUGUGUGUGUGUGUGGGGGGGUGUCUGUUGUGUAUUUGGGCCUCCCCCUUCACACUCACAAGCCUUACAGGGGCAGCAGAGGGAAGUUGGGGACUCCCCAAAGCCUCUGCCAGAACCCCUGCCCUGAAGUCACGUGGCCCCUCCCUACCUGCCCACCUAGACUGCAAGGCCUGGGCACGGGACUUCUUCAGAGGAACUAGCUCUGGUGGCCUGUUUUGUUCACUGCCUGUCUCUCUGCUGAUCCAGAUGUUUCUUCAAGUCUACCCCUAGUCUUUCCUGCUGCGGAAGCACUAGACCGGCAGUUGUCAAACUUUUUGUUCAGGAUGUUUUUACACACUUAAUCAUUAUUGAGGACCCCAAAGAGAUUUUCUUUAUGUGGGUUGUAUCCAUCAAGAUUUACCAAAUUAGAAAUGAAAACAGAAAAUUUAAAAGCAUGUAUUUAUUCAUUCAUUAAAAAUAACAGUAAUACUUCCGUUACAUGUUAACAUAGAUAAUAUCUUUUUAUGAGAAAUAACUUUAUUUUCCAGAGCAAAACAAAAUUAGCAAGAAGAGUGGCAUUGUUUUUACGUUUUUACAAAUCUCAUUAACAUCUGGCUUAAUAGAGCAAAUAGCCCCCCUGGGGUUUGAUUCUCAUAUCUGCUUUUGCCUUCCGUGUGGUGUGAUGUUUUUGUUGUUGUUAUUGAAGUAAAUGAAGAAAAUCUGGCCUCACACAGAUUUCUGGUUGGAAAAAUGAGGAGUAGAUUUUCAUAGCCUUUUCGGAUGGUUUGAUACUACACCAAAACUUGACAAGUGGUAGUUUCUUAAAGGUUAGUUGCCAUGUAGAAUCUGAAACCGUAUCAAUGAACUUUUCAUAUUCUGUUACAUUAAAGUCCAUUUAUCUAUUUCGUGCUUUGAAUAGAUCUCUUGCCCAUGCGUGAUUUUAUACCAUCGUGCUUUGGCCAUUUAGAAAACAUUAGUUCACUAAGUUAUGUAGAUCUCGCAAAUGUUAGCACAUUUCAUUAUAUAAUACUAAAUAAUUUCAUAGGAAAUGUACCAGGAAGCUGUCAAGCUCAUGGUGACUUAUGCAAGUAUUCCAAAAUUUGAAUUUUCACUUAAUAAAAUAGAAUUUUAUCAUUGGCGGUAAAUACUGUUAGUUGUUUUCCUUGAAGCGACAGGCUCACUUUAUUAUUUCUGAGAGAAUGUCUGCCAAAUAUCCAUGUCUAAAGUUUGUCUGUCAGUCUUUCUUGUGAAGCAAAGAUGGUAUUCCAUCAACAAAGCAGCUAGUGCAGCUCGUAACGCAAACAAACUGCACAAGGGUUUUUCCUUGAGGCAACAGUCAUACUCUGGUAUGUUACAGAAGUGCUUUGUGUGAAUUUCCCAUGUCAUCACACACCAUGUUUAAUAGAUGUAUACACAAAGGUUGAGACUUAAUAAAAUUACUAAUUUUACUACUUCACUUGCACAAGGACUUUUUUUUUUUCUUCAGGAAGAUGAGCCCUGAGCCAACAUCUGUGCCCAUCUUCCUCUAUUUUGUAUGUGGGACACCUGCCAUAGUGUGGCUUGAUAAGUAGUGUGUAGGUCCGAAGCUGGGAUCCAAAUCAGUGAACCCUAGACCACCAAAGUAGAGCCUGCAAACUUAACCGCUAUGCCUCCAGGCCGGCUCCAGCAAGGACAUGCUGAAAGUGAAACUAGCUGUUUUUUUAAAAAAUGGAAGCUCCUGACAGUGACAAAUAUAAUGACUCCUGGUACAGUUUGAUGUCACUGCUUUGAGUUGUAUUAAGGCACCAACAAUUUUCCCUAUGAUUGCUUUUGCACCAUCCGUGCAAAUCUCAACACAGUAAAAGACUUAAAUAAUGUCUUAGUAUUAGUAAAAUAAUUUGACCUCACCCAUCCCUGAGAAGGUCUUGGAGACUCCCAGAGGUCUGUGGACCCUGCUUAGAGAACCACUGCACCAGGUUAUUCUGCCUCAUUCUGUUCUCAGUGGUGGUCCGACCGUGUCUUACAUAUUUCACUAUUAGGACACUGAGGCCCAGCGGAGCCCGACCAUUGGUCCUUGUCUCUCAUUCUGGCACUGAAGUGAGAAUUUUCUUCCUGGUGGGGAAUGGGGAGGCUUCUCAGGGGAGGUGACAUUGAUCUUAUGGACAAGCAGCAGACCAAAAGGCAGGGGUGGGGGCCUGGGAGUGCAUUCUUAGUGGAGGGAACAGCAUUGGCAAAGGCCCAGGGUACUAAGGGCCUCAAAUGCCAGCCGCAGGGCAGUGGUCACCACAGAGCAGUGUUGACCGGGGAAGCGAUGGAUGAGAUGUGCCCAGAGACAGGGACGAUCAGAGAAGAGGUCCCUAGUCCUUUACCAGGGGCCUUCCCGUCGUCUGGCCUCAGGGCUGUGUCCUUAGGGUGGGGUUGACAUGUGGUUACCCAGAUGGACUCACCCUUCAUGACCGUGACUGGCAGAGUAUGGUCUGCUGCCCAGAAUUCCCUGCUGAAAAGUUUCUCCACAGACGUUUACACUGACCAUAGCUGUUUUUUUCCUUUGUAUUGGCUUUUUUGGUGACAGUGGCUAGCCUCACCGAGUUCCUUGUGCCAUGCAUGAAUGUGAGGGUGACCUGGGCAAGAGAUGGCAGCUGACGGGAUUGGUGGUGAUGGCAGAGCUACUCCCCUACCUGGAUAUGACUUCCCUGGAUAGGCCCUCGCCUUACGCAGACCAUGAAGACACAGCACGGGGAGAGAUGGAGCAACCCACAGCCCCUUUUCCUUUCUGUCCUUCCUUACUCAUCAGUCAGCCGAAGUAGAGCAUGUGGGUAGUAUGUGCGCAAGUCAAGAAGUGAAAUAAAAACAGUGGAGUUUGUCUGUGCAGUGUUUCCACCGUUCAGGAUAAUGACUCCACCUGCCCCAAGGACUGUUGCGAGCAUUCUCUGAGCUAAUCUACAGAAAGCUUUUAGUGUGGAGCUGGGUACUUCGAGGCUGCCAUUCACAGAAGCUCACCUGUUGUGGAAGAGGUUGGUGACUCGGACUCAAUGGGGCCUUCCUCUUUGGCCAUCAGGAAUUCUCUCCAUCACCUUUCCCUCUCCCGGCUCCUCCUCCUUCUCUCUAUGCCUUCUCCCCUUCCUCUCUCUGCUGUUCCUCUAGCAUACCAGGCUCAUGCUCACCUCAGGGCCUUUGCAAUAGCUGUUCCCUGUCUGCAGCUCUGGUCUUCCAGAUGCUUCAUGACUGACUCUUUAUCAUUUCUUGGGUCUGAGCACAAACGGCACCACCUCCGAGAUGGUGUGCCUGACUGCUCCAUCUGACAUCCCCCUUGUGCAGCUACUCUGUUACAUUUCACUGUUUUAAUUUUCUCCCUGGCACUUGAUAGGUGAUAGUUUUGUUCACUUGUUUGUUCAGUGUCUUUCUCCCCUCCCCCCAGGCUGAGCCUCAGCACACUGUCUGUGUUGUUCCCCAUGUCCUCAGUGACUGGCAGCACAGAGGUGCACCACACAGACAGAGGGCUGCUCUUGUGGAGUUCACAGUUUAAUGGGUCAGGCAGGAUCAAACAAGCAAACGAAUGUUUUGAUGCAUAUUUUUUAUUGAUUAUUUUAAAUUGUGGUAAGAUACACAUAAUAGAAAAAUUGCCAUCUUAACCAUUUUUAAGUGUACAGUUCACUGACAUUAAAUACAUUCCAUUGUUGUACUUACAUGCCAUUGUUGGCAACCGUCACCACCAUCCAUCUCCAGAUCUCUUUUCAUCCUGCAAAACUGAAACUCGGUACCCAUUAGACAACAACUUCCCACUCCCCUUCCCCCAGCCCCUGGCAUCCACCCUUUUACUUUGUUUCUGUGAAUUUGACUACUUUAGAUAUCUCAUUUAAGAGAAAGCAGACACUAUUUGUGUUUUUGUGAUGGGCUUAUUUUGCUUAGCAUAAUGUCCUCAAGCUUCCUCCAUGUUGUAGCAUGUGUCAGAAUUCCCUUUCUUUUUAAGAUUGAAUAAUACUCCGUUGUAUGCAUAUGCCGUAUUUUGUUUAUUCAUUCAUCCACUGAUGUACACUUGGGUUGCUUCCCCCUCUUG